UGUAUUUUAGUACAAAUACUAGAUUCUUUAUUUGAAUAUUUUACAACUUUGAAAACAUAUUUACAGAAACUAGUUCUGCAUUAUUACACUUAACACGCAUGUAGCUUUCAUACUGAAACAUUGCUUGCUAGAGAAAAAAAAAUAAUUGUCUUGACUGCAGAAGCACCACCGAAAAACUCAGAAUGGACAGAAAAAGAGGAGAGGGACAUAAUUGAACACUGAGCAACAUACAAGUCGAAACGAGACUGGCUUGCAUUGCCAGACAAGGCCUCUUGAUAGGAUGGUACAGAUCUAUUUGUUAAGGCGGAAUCGGUCCUCACCAUUAUCAAUAAACAGCACUACAACCUGCCCUGCCCUUCCUGGUUCAGCACAUGUAACAGAAAAGUGUCCUUAAACAUAGAGGAUGACUUCAUCUCAAAAUCAGAUCAGGUAUUAAGCUAAUUAUUCAUUAACACAUACUGAACCCUCACUGUCAAAAAGAGUAAAAAAAAAUGAGAGUUGUGUUACUAAAAUUGCAUGUUUAAGUGUUUGAAAGACAACCUUAAAAUGAAGGUGAGCUAAUCAGACAGACAUUUGGAGGCGAGGCAAGCUGUGUGUGACAGGGGCACAUUUGCAGGUAAGCAAAUUCCAAUAGUACAAAUAGCUUGGACAAAGACAGCUUGACAUGCAAAGACAGAAUGCAUAGGACAGAUGAAAUUCAUGAAAUUAAGUCUCAAAGGCUACCAAAAAAAAAUACUUAAACCAAAUUUAAAUAGUAUUUACUCCACAAACAUAAUGUAACAAUUGAUGUUCUUUUCAAUUAUUUGUAUGCUAAAAUAAGCUAGAUCAAUAGUGACAACAUUGGUCUCCAUUACACUGUUAGCCUGACUGCAGGGUUUAGAUAAGAAGCUGUACCCUGGUCAUGCUUGUGAAGCUAUGGCUUUCCUUCUUUGGUUUCUUUAAGGAUUCAAAAACCUGCAUUGUUGUUUGUUUCUCAUAUACUACCUGUCACAUAACUAGAGCCACACACACGAUCAAACCCGUUCUGGUCACAUUGCAUUUUAGGCACUUCUAAAAAGACAUCUAAGUGGUCUUCUGACUGUUUUGCACCGAAAAUAUGAGUGGCCAUCGUUCUCCACAAGCAGAAUGACGGUUUAACUGUCAAACUGAUAUGCUCUCAAUUUUAAAAUACAUUUUAUGUUACAGUAUAGGUGCAGAUAUUUCUCCAAACCCAAAUGAAAUCAUGAAAGAAAAUACGUUUUCCUCUUUGGUACGCUGGCUUCAUAACAGAGCAAACAUUGGCUAACAAUGCAGACGGGUGUGUAUUCUGCUAUUAUGAAGAAGAACCAAAAGCAUGCUAAGACCAGAACAGGAAGAUCAACUUCUAGCUUUCAUGAAAUAAUGAAAUUGCACACACACACACACACACACAUAUAUAUAUAUAUAUAUAUAUAUACAUAAAUAAUGUACAGUAUUAAACACAUUUAAUUGACAAAAUAAAAGCAGCAGGUAAAUUGUUAUUGGGAGACAGAACAAAAACUAUUUUGAGAUGACACCCACCACACAGAGACUGAUUCUUGCUUAAUAGUAAGAUGGCAUGAUUCUUAUUUGCCAUCCAUGGAGGAAAAUAUAGCUUCACAAAAGAAUCACAGGGUGAAUCCAUAUGUUGGAUGACAUUUCAACUGUCACAUCAAUGGCUAUCAAACUAAUAACAUUAAGUUAUAAAAAUAAAACUUUGUUUAAUAAUUCAUACCUGACCUAGCUGUUUCGGUUGAAAGCAUUCCUAGAUGCUACCAUUAGCAUUGCAAGUUAACACAUAUCAACAACAGACAUUCAAACAAGAACCUACACACACUUUUUACACGCACACAAUCAUUUCAUGGCCCUGGCACACUACUACCAAGUCAAACAUGAUCAUGGUAUGAACAUGUCAACAUCGUGGUUCUUUCGGCCCAUGGAAGGGAGGGAUUGAGAGUAUUUACUUCAAGGUUCAACCCUUUAUAGAUUGUGAAUGCCUGUGUACACAUCUGGCACAACAGCAGGAUAACCAUCCUUAUCAGUGACAAAGUGAAGACACUCUCUGCCUUGUUACGACACACACUAUUUACAAACCCAUGAGGAAGUGCGCACCAGCAGAACAGUUCAGACUAGCCUAUAGGUGGCACUCUGGAGAGAUCUCUGCUAGCUUAGCUAGUACAUUAUACUGGCCAGCUACCCCUUUAUCCUAAUCCAAGACCCUGACACGCUGAUCUACAUCCUUUCUGAUCACAAGUCACUGUAACCUCUCUAAACCCCACAACAACCCAGCUCCUCUCAAUUCCACAGUCUUAGAAUUCAUCCACACACACAGACGACUUGGAACAGAUAGUCACACAGCUACAACACAGACAGACAAUCAAAAUGUAUAGGCAACACAACCAUAUCUCCCCAACAACUCCAAAGCAUGGCUUACUUGGUUUAUUACACCACUGCUUGUUUCAGGGCUACCGAGCACAACUCCCUGCAAAAGCAAACUCGCCUACACUCAGGACUGCCAUUCAGUCGUAGUCUGAAUGUGAAGAACCAACAUUCCGUUCUGCAUCAUGAUCAACAUGAGAAAGUCCUUGCAGCCUGCCUCCUCACUACAGUACCAAAACAAAAUGGAAGAAUAGAGAUGGAGCCCAAUUCUGUGGUGAGGAGUACGUGUUCUAAUUUGUGGCUGUGAGAUGGAAAGGUCAGUGAAGGGAUGAUGGGGGGGGGCGACCCAAUCUGUCCGACAGGAAGCAAUGCAUUUGAGAAGGAGCCAGGUGGAAGACUGACAGAGGGAAGGAAGUGAACAGUUCCAAUAAACAUCACACACACUUAGUCUGUGUAUUCUGCCACAAUGGACAGCAGCACCGUGAUGUCAUCAGGCUUCCCCCCUGCAGGACACAAGACAAAAGAGAACGUAUUAAAAAUCAGCUUUCCAGAGUUCAAAGUCAACUUGGAAUGGCCCAAUCUUCAAGCUGACAGUGGACAUAAAACAGCGGUGCUGGAGGUGUUAUUAGGCUCUUAAAGGACUUCCCAAGAACCCGAUACGUACCUCUUACAUUCAGGCCAUUGUCACAAGCAAACUGGGCGAAAGGGGACAUGUAGUUGGGGUCAUAGGCCAGUUCAUGGGCUUGCUUUGCAAUGCUCUGUGCGGUCUGCUGG
rnacentral:lncRNA from 1 species